AUUGAACGCUGGCGGCAUGCUUUACACAUGCAAGUCGAACGGUAACAGGCCGCAAGGUGCUGACGAGUGGCGAACGGGUGAGUAAUGCAUCGGAACGUGCCCAGUCGUGGGGGAUAACGCAGCGAAAGCUGCGCUAAUACAGCAUACGAGCUAUGGAUGAAAGCGGGGGGCCGUAAGGCCCCGCGCGAUUGGAGCGGCCGAUGUCAGAUUAGGUAGUUGGUGGGGUAAAGGCCCACCAAGCCAACGAUCUGUAGCUGGUCUGAGAGGACGACCAGCCACACUGGGACAGAGACACGGCCCAGACUCCUACGGGAGGCAGCAGGGGGGAAUUUUGGGUAAUGGGCGCAAGCCUGAUCCAGCAAUCCCGCGUGCAGGAAGAAGGCCUUCGGGUUGUAAACUGCUUUUGUACGGAACGAAACGGUCCUGGUUAAUACCUGGAGCUAAUGACGGUACCGUAAGAAUAAGCACCGGCUAACUACGUGCCAGCAGCCGCCGUAAUAC
rnacentral:rRNA from 1 species